rnacentral:rRNA from 1 species
AUGGCCGCAUUCCGCUCCUUGGCGGGCGCGUCGCAUCGCAGCACCAGCACCACGCACUCCGGGUUCCCGCUGCUGAUCGCGUCGUCGAUUGCAUCCCUCGUCAGCCUCGCCGCCUCAGGGAGCGGCGGCGCGUCCAGCAGCUCCACCACCGCCUCCUCCGCCCCCAUUUCCCCGUCUGCGCCGGAGACCACCGCCUUCACCUUCAGCCGCUUCCUCGUGCUGUCGGACCCGCCGCCCGGCGGCGACGCCUCCGCGCGCAGCAGCAGCGGGCCCACCUCGCCGGCGAGCGCGCGGCACGCCGUGUUGACGAGCGAGCUCUUCCCGUGGGCCCGGAAUCCCGUGAUCAGGAUGGACGGCGGCGGCGCGUCCUCGUCCCCCUGGUCGUCGCCGCCGUCGGCGCUGUCGCCGUCCUCGUUGCUGGAGACGAGGGCGGCGACGGCCUCGCGGAUGUCCCGGCGGAGGGAGGAGACCGCGUCAUCCCGCAGCAGGCGCGCCGCCGCGACGAUCGCCAAUGCGCCGGCGGCCGCCGCGGCGGCGAUCUUCAGGAGGAGGGGCAGCUGCCGCGGCGCGGGCAUUCGGGAGGAGGCGGCGGCGAGGCGCCCCUUCGUGGAAAGAGAUUUUGCGAGCGGCUGUAUCGGGAAGGGCGCAUCGGUGUUACGUAGAUUCGGUAUUCCGUAA